ACUCAAAGGAAUUGACGGGGGCCCGCACAAGCAGUGGAGCAUGUGGUUUAAUUCGAUGCUACGCGAAAAACCUUACCAGGGUUUGACUUCCCGGUGAAAGCCUUUGGAAACAUUGGCCCCCCUUCGGGGCACCGGUGACAGGUGGUGCAUGGUUGUCGUCAGCUCGUGCCGUGAGGUGUUGGAUUAAGUUCCGCAACGAGCGCAACCCUCGUUGCCAGUUACCAUCAUUAAGUUGGGGACUCUGGCGAGACCGCCGGCGUCAAGCCGGAGGAAGGUGGGGACGACGUCAAAUCAUCAUGCCCCUUACAUCCUGGGCUACACACGUGCUACAAUGGUCGGUACAACGGGCUGCAACACUGCGAAGUGAAGCGAAUCCCUUAAAGCCGAUCUCAGUUCGGAUUGUAGGCUGCAACUCGCCUGCAUGAAGCCGGAAUUGCUAGUAACCGUGGAUCAGCAUGCCGCGGUGAAUACGUACCCGGGCCUUGUACACACCGCCCGU
rnacentral:rRNA from 1 species